rnacentral:misc_RNA from 1 species
AAAUUUUUAUUUUUAUAUAAGUCACACAUACCCAAUCCAUAACCGAUAUAGAAUCCCGAAGAAUCAGUUCAUAAGACAUGCUUACUAACUCGCGAACCUCAACUCACAUCUACACCGAAAAUAAGACUUCUCACUUAUUUUCAUUCACAAGAUUUCAUUUUUUUUUUUACGUAAAAAAGACAAAUGAUGACUCAUUGACAGAAAUGAACCGCUGUUAAAAUAAUAAUAAAUUUAAUAAAAUCCUUGUUCUCAUAUAAGCCGCGAACACACUUAAUCUACAAUCAAUAUGAGAUCCCGAAGGAUCUUAAACCACCAGCUGAAUUGGUUUUUUUGUGUAAAAUUGCUGUCAAUGCUCUUGAAAACGCUAAUUAAUGUUUUCUAUGUAAAACUAUUGCUCGUAUCAAAUGAUGUGAAAACAAACUAAAACGCCAUUUUAACUAGCAAUUUGUAAGCAACACAUUAUUUUAGUAAAUUGUUUGAAUUUAAUAUUAUUAUGAUAAAUAAUUUUUAAAACCAUAUUAUUUUUAAUAAUUAAUCUGUCAAACAAAGCUUAAAUAGUUUUAUUAUUCAAAUUAUAACAGACUAAAUAAUUAAAUAGAAAAAAAUUUACUUUCAAGUAAUAGUAAAAAUUAAAUAGUUUUAUGAACUAAAAAUAAGAGAAUUAAAUAUUUUUUUAAAUAGAGAAUUAAAUAGUUAAUUUUAUUAAAAUAUAAA